rnacentral:rRNA from 1 species
GAUGAACGCUGGCGGCGUGCCUAAUACAUGCAAGUCGAGCGAACAGACGAGGAGCUUGCUCCUCUGACGUUAGCGGCGGACGGGUGAGUAACACGUGGAUAACCUACCUAUAAGACUGGGAUAACUUCGGGAAACCGGAGCUAAUACCGGAUAAUAUAUUGAACCGCAUGGUUCAAUAGUGAAAGACGGUUUUGCUGUCACUUAUAGAUGGAUCCGCGCCGCAUUAGCUAGUUGGUAAGGUAACGGCUUACCAAGGCAACGAUGCGUAGCCGACCUGAGAGGUUGAUCGGCCACACUGGAACUGAGACACGGUCCAGACUCCUACGGGAGGCAGCAGUAGGGAAUCUUCCGCAAAGGGCGAAAGCCUGACGGAGCAACGCCGCGUGAGUGAUGAAGGUCUUCGGAUCGUAAAACUCUGUUAUUAGGGAAGAACAAAUGUGUAAGUAACUAUGCACGUCUUGACGGUACCUAAUCAGAAGGCCACGGCUAACUACGUG